CAUUCCGAACUCAGAAGUGAAACGAAAUAGCGCCGAUGGUAGUGUGGGGUUUCCCCAUGUGAGAGUAGGACAUCGCCAGGC
rnacentral:rRNA from 3 species